GCGUAUUCUCGAAUAAAAAAAUUAGGAGUAAGAGUACACCACACUAUGAAGAGCAUUGUUAGGUAGAGCAACCAAAAACCCAUUACAUUAUUAGACAGAGCAACCAAAAACCCAUUGCAUUAUUAGACAGAGCAACAAAACCCCAUUGCAUGUUGCUACUAAUCCUACCAAACGUAUCCUCCCUCUCUAUUCAUAUUCUAGGUACAACACAACUCCUUUCUCUCCAUAUCAAAUCCAUAUUCCACCAAAUUAAAAACAUCACAUCUCUUAUCAAUUCUAUGACACCAAUUUUAGCAUACCAAAAAGAUCAAAUCAAACAAGCCGUUUCAUAGAACUGAAACUGAAACCCCAAAUGAUAUGUGAAACGCACUCUGGCUGCCUAGAUUUGCCGCUGCUUUUUUCUAUCGCAAAGUCCCCCACCUUCUUUGACCGC
rnacentral:lncRNA from 1 species